UACGGGAGGCAGCAGUGGGGAAUUUUGGACAAUGGGGGCAACCCUGAUCCAGCCAUUCCGCGUGAGUGAAGAAGGCCUUCGGGUUGUAAAGCUCUUUCGGCAGGAACGAAACGGUCAUCUCUAACAUAGGUGGCUAAUGACGGUACCUGCAUAAGAAGCACCGGCUAACUACGUGCCAGCAGCCGCGGUAAU
rnacentral:rRNA from 1 species